GACGGAGGGGGCUAGCGUUGUUCGGAAUUACUGGGCGUAAAGCGCACGUAGGCGGCCUUUCAAGUCAGAUGUGAAAGCCCCGGGCUUAACCCGGGAAUUGCAUUUGAUACUGUUAGGCUUGAGACCGGGAGAGGAUAGCGGAAUUCCCAGUGUAGAGGUGUAAUUCGUAGAUAUUGGGAAGAACACCAGUGGCGAAGGCGGCUAUCUGGACCGGUACUGACGCUGAGGUGCGAAAGCGUGGGGAGCAAACAGG
rnacentral:rRNA from 1 species